rnacentral:rRNA from 1 species
CCUACGGGGGGCAGCAGUGGGGAAUAUUGCACAAUGGGGGAAACCCUGAUGCAGCGACGCCGCGUGAGUGAAGAAGUAUUUCGGUACGUAAAGCUCUAUCAGCAGGGAAGAAAAUGACGGUACCUGACUAAGAAGCCCCGGCUAACUACGUGCCAGCAGCCGCGGUAAUACGUAGGGGGCAAGCGUUAUCCGGAUUUACUGGGUGUAAAGGGAGCGUAGACGGCAGCGUAAGUCUGGAGUGAAAUCCCAUGGCUUAACCAUGGAACUGCUUUGGAAACUGUGCAGCUAGAGUGCAGGAGAGGUAAGCGGAAUUCCUAGUGUAGCGGUGAAAUGCGUAGAUAUUAGGAAGAACACCAGUGGCGAAGGCAGCUUACUGGACUGUAACUGACGUUGAGGCUCGAAAGCGUGGGGAGCAAACAGGAUUAGAUACCCUAGUAGUC